rnacentral:rRNA from 1 species
AUGUCUAAACGACUCUCGGCAACGGAUAUCUCGGCUCUCGCAUCGAUGAAGAACGUARCGAAAUGCGAUACUUGGUGUGAAUUGCAGAAUCCCGUGAACCAUCGAGUCUUUGAACGCAAGUUGCGCCCGAAGCCGUUAGGCCGAGGGCACGUCUGCCUGGGCGUCACACGYCGUUGCCCCCCCCGACCCCUYCGGGGGYCGGACGGGACGGAUGA